rnacentral:rRNA from 1 species
GCUAAACGCGAAGAACCUUACCCAGGCUUGACAUGCAGAGGACGCUAGCAGAAAUGUUAGUUCCCUUCGGGGCCUCUGCACAGGUGCUGCAUGGCUGUCGUCAGCUCGUGCCGUGAGGUGUUGGGUUAAGUCCCGCAACGAGCGCAACCCUCGUCCUAUGUUGCCAGCGGGUAAUGCCGGGGACUCAUAGGAGACUGCCGGGGUCAACUCGGAGGAAGGUGGGGAUGACGUCAAAUCAUCAUGCCCCUUAUGUCUUGGGCUUCACGCGUGCUACAAUGGCCGGUACAGAGGGCUGCGAACCCGCGAGGGGAGCUAAACUACAAAACUACNUCUCAGUUCGGUAGUUGCAGGCGUGCAACUCGCCUGCAUGAAGCUGGAGUUGCUAGUAAUCGCGAAUCAGAAUGUCACGGUGAAUACGUUCCCGGGUCUUGUACAC